CCUCACAUUUGCUUGCUAAUUCAUGCAAAGUUUUUCCAAGUACUCCAUCCUGUAGGAUGCUGACUCUCCUGUGAAAAGCAGUUUCUCAACCAACCUAUCUCCACCUUCCAACUCAGUCAUCUGGCAAAAGAGUGAAAUGUUACUGUGGCUCAGGCCAAAGGCUCUGGAAGAAGAGAAGCGUGACACUCAUCUGAACUUGAAAGAGACACCCGUGGGUUGCUGACCUCUGUCAGUGAUGGUGUCUGCGGAGAUUGCAGCUGCUAUUUAUCUGCCUGCACACGGAUCACUUCGCAGUUCUCCCAGACAGUCUUCAACCACGCAUAGUGGGAGCUGUCCUAUUUUCCAUGUCGUUGUCCUCAUCCUGUUACAUCCCGCUGUGCCAACAUGCAGAGAACUUCAAGCAGAGAACAAAUCCAGGAGAGAGCAAGAGAAGUCCUUCAGCAGAAGGAGGCACAGCCGGGCGCUGGAGUGACCUUGGAGGCUCUGCCUCUGUCAUUGCCCUCUCCAACUCCUGAUAAACAGCAAGUGAAAUGGAUUUACAGGCUUGCAGAAAUCAUUUCAUUUUCUCUUGUUUUAUCAGCACAGAUGGAAAGCAGGCCUGUAUCUAAUCUCAGUCCAGAAUCAGCUGGAGUUGGACUGAUAGUGUAUGAAGACAGCAAAAGCAGCAGACUUCUAAACUCACUGAGCUGUAGCUUGUGCUGUAUGAGCUAG
rnacentral:lncRNA from 1 species